rnacentral:rRNA from 1 species
GAUUGAACGCUGGCGGCAUGCUUUACACAUGCAAGUCGAACGGUAACAGGCCUUCGGGUGCUGACGAGUGGCGAACGGGUGAGUAAUGCAUCGGAACGUACCCAGAGGUGGGGGAUAACGCAGCGAAAGCUGUGCUAAUACCGCAUGUGAUCUGAGGAUGAAAGCGGGGGACCGAGCAGCAAUGUUUGGCCUCGCGCCUUUGGAGCGGCCGAUGUCGGAUUAGCUAGUUGGUGGGGUAAAGGCCUACCAAGGCGACGAUCCGUAGCUGGUCUGAGAGGACGACCAGCCACACUGGGACUGAGACACGGCACAGACUCCUACGGGAGGCAGCAGUGGGGAAUUUUGGACAAUGGGCGCAAGCCUGAUCCAGCAAUGCCGCGUGCGGGAAGAAGGCCUUCGGGUUGUAAACCGCUUUUGGCAGGAACGAAACGGUGUCCGCUAAUACCGGGCGCUAAUGACGGUACCUGCAGAAUAAGCACCGGCUAACUACGUG